rnacentral:tRNA from 2 species
GGGCCGUUAGCUCAGUCGGUAGAGCAGCUGGCUUUUAACCAGUUGGUCGAAGGUUCGAAUCCUUCACGGCCCACCA